UACGUAGGUGGCAAGCGUUGUCCGGAUUUACUGGGCGUAAAGCGCGCGCAGGCGGCUGAUUAAGUCCGAUGUGAAAUCUCCCGGCUCAACCGGGAGCGGUCAUUGGAUACUGGUCGGCUUGAGGGAGGCAGAGGAGAGUGGAAUUCCCCGGUGUAGUGGUGGAAUGCGUAGAUAUCGGGAGGAACACCAGCGGCGAAGGCGGCUCUCUGGGCCUUUCCUGACGCUGAGGCGCGAAAGCGUGGGGAGCAAACCGG
rnacentral:rRNA from 1 species